GUGCUCGCUUCGGCAGUACAUAUACUAAAAAUUGAAACAACACAGAGAAGAUUAGUGUGGCCCCUGUGCAAGGAUGACAUGCAAAGUUGUGAAGUGUUCCAUAUUUUU
rnacentral:snRNA from 1 species